UACUUGAUAUGUUUAGUUAGGAUGUCAAAUUGAGUUCUAGACAUGUGUUCUUUACAAGGUUUCUCCCAAUGCAUGAAUGCAAUCUAAAUGCUUCUAGACUCAAUCCGAAAGAUGCAAAUGGAUCAAGUGAAACUACAUGAAGAUUUUUUAAAAAAAAUCAAAUUUUUAUGAAUUUUCUAUGCAAAUAAGUAUUCACAAUGCAAUGCAUGAGACUCAUGGCAAGUAAACAAAACAGAAAAUGAUGUGAGAUAGUAGACUCUCCCCCAAACUUACUUCACACAGUCCCUUGUGUGAGAGUAAGCUCAAAGAAGAGAUCCAAGGGAAAGAAAUAAACAUGAAAAGUAAAUAUGUACAAGGUUGGAGUGACACUUACUUGGAGUUAUUGGCUGAAUUGGGUGGUAGAGGACCCUUGGCCUCGGGUUUGUUUCACCAUGGACAUGGACUGAAGGGGAGAAGGCAAGUGUCUAGAGUCACAAUGCUUCACAUCAGCCAAGGUAAGUAAGACUUGACCUGAAAAAUCUCAACCAUGCUUAUUAAAUAACCUAAAAAGAGAAGAUAAAAAAUAUAUAUACAAUGGAUAAACAUGAGAUUUCCUCCCAAGUGAGCUUGUUUUAAGUCUCUAGCUUGACUUUGUGUGCUUGUUAAUCAUAGGUAUCAAAAGGUUGAGCCAAUGCACCUUUGGUCCUUCUCCUACAAGAACAAGGAACCAAGUAUGCAAAGGAGCACACUACUAUCCAUAGAAAAUAGACAGAUUUUUCCUCAAAGAGCUUCACUAAAGAUGUGACAUGAAUUAUGAAAUGCUCCUUGAGGUUCAGAUGGUCAUGAGAAUCAAAUGCAUAUGGUGGAAACACACAGUCAACUACAGGCUCAAAC
rnacentral:lncRNA from 1 species